AGAUAUCUUACCAACCGCAGUGUGUACUGAGCAUUAGUUACUCAGGAGGGUGUUUAGUGAGCAGACAGCCUCUUGGAUUAGAGAUUGUUAUACAAAUGUCAUUCUUUAUCAUCAUCAUCUAACUUUUCAAGAGCAGAGUUAAGAAAGAAACUUUCCUAAUAUCACCAAUUAUCCAGUUGAAUCAUGAAACACAAAAGAAAAAUAAAACAUCUGGAACCUUCAUUGUUAAACUAAACAGAAAAGAGACCAAGAGAAGAGUUAGAUUUAUAAGAUGAUCUGCAGAGCAGAAACAAUGUACUGACCCCAACUCAAGACCAGGAAGAGAGCAAUAUUUCUUCAAAUCACUUCUUUUGCGAAGACAAAUUCUUUGGUGCAGGCAUGAAGUAAUGAUUAAAUAAGACUUGUGGAAGUCUCCAGAAGAUGCUGCUGAGACACCGAGGAAUGUCCUAGCCUCCAGUCAGGGAGGAGAGAAUUCCACAGACACAGAGCUUUGCCUUUGUGUCUCUUCAGCAACCCUGCAAGUUGCUGCAACACAUGAAGGCAGGGAGAUCUGAAUGUGACCUGAACUUGGACGAUAGGCACCCCAGAGCUGCUUGUCCAAGUCUUGGAUCCUCUUAGAUGUCUCUAUAUCAAGGCAUGAUGGAGAUAAAGAAUUUCUCUUUUAAUUCACACUCCCCUUCAACUUCCUCCUCGGUCAGCACCCCAUCAUGGUCCUCAGAAUCUUCUGAAAAGAAAAAGAGACUCCACCACCCUACCCCACCUGUGGGAAAAUGAACAAGUGAGGCCCAUACUUCACUACUUGACUUUGUGAUUGACCUAGAGGUCAAAUAUCUAUGCAUGUCGGACAAUCUGUAGUAAUAGGUUGGAAACUUUGAAGAGAAGAGAUAGAGAUGUCAACAUUUAGUAUUGAGUAAUCUUUUCUGUCCAGCUCUAAAUAAGCUCUACAAGCCUCAAAAGUUGGUCUCUCUUCAAUUUGUCAUUUUUUUAAAAU
ensembl:lncRNA